AGCGAACGCUGGCGGCAGGCUUAACACAUGCAAGUCGAGCGGACGUAGCAAUACGUCAGCGGCAGACGGGUGAGUAACGCGUGGGAACAUACCUUUUGGUUCGGAACAACACAGGGAAACUUGUGCUAAUACCGGAUAAGCCCUUACGGGGAAAGAUUUAUCGCCGAAAGAUUGGCCCGCGUCUGAUUAGCUAGUUGGUGAGGUAAUGGCUCACCAAGGCGACGAUCAGUAGCUGGUCUGAGAGGAUGAUCAGCCACACUGGGACUGAGACACGGCCCAGACUCCUACGGGAGGCAGCAGUGGGGAAUAUUGGACAAUGGGCGAAAGCCUGAUCCAGCCAUGCCGCGUGAGUGAUGAAGGCCUUAGGGUUGUAAAGCUCUUUUACCCGGGAAGAUAAUGACUGUACCGGGAGAAUAAGCCCCGGCUAACUUCGUGCCAGCCGCCGCCGUAAU
rnacentral:rRNA from 1 species